UUGCUUGUAGUCGAAUGACUAUCCGCAAUCAUGGCAGGGAUUCAGGAAAAAGAUUUGUGCACUGUCUGGGUAGGAAAUAAGUCAAGAGGACGUCUGCUAUUUGUAAUGCAUGGAUAUUUUCCUCAGCGCUGAAUGAAACCAAGAGGCACGCAAAUAUUUUCUGCUGCAGGGCUCGACUUUUUCUUGGGCAUGGAUUUCGAAUUGUCAAAUUACGUUUAAUUUAUUAUUUUAGCCAGAGCAAAGUGCGUGGCUGCUAGCAAACCGCUAACUUAGCUACUAGUUGGAUAGACGCUAUCCUAACUAAAUGAGCUACUCUUUUUUUUAUUUUAUUUUUUAAUGUUUACUAAUAUCAUUAACUAGUUAGCUUUUUUACCAGUUUAGUCAGUCAUAGCAACUUGUUUGUGUCGAUGACUCUCGACAGCCUUAAACAUUCUCCUAUCCUUUCAACUUUGUUUAAAAUGGCAGACGACAUAGAAUUGAUAGGAGCCUGUGAAUUAAUAAAAGAUCGAUUAUAUUUUGCUACCCUAAGAAGCAAGCCAAAAAGCACUGCAAACACUCACUACUUCUGCACAGAUGACGAAUUUAUCUAUGAAAACUUCUAUGCGGAUUUUGGACCACUCAACCUAGCCAUGCUGUACAGAUACAGCUGUAAACUUAACAAAAAGCUGAAGUCGUUCACACUGACCAGAAAGCGAAUCGUGCACUACACCAGCUUUGACCAGAGGAAAAGGGCUAAUGCUGCUGUUUUAAUCGCUGCCUAUGCUGUCAUCUACCUAAAGAAGACCCCAGAGGAGGCCUACAGGGCUCUGAUCUCAGGCUCCAAUGCGUCAUAUCUUCCCUUCAGGGAUGCCUCGUUUGGAAAUUGCACAUACAACCUGACAAUUCUCGACUGCCUACAAGGAAUCCGGAAAGCCCUGCAACAUGGAUUCUUUGACUUUGAGACAUUUGACGUGGACGAAUAUGAGCACUACGAGCGAGUGGAAAACGGUGACUUCAACUGGAUCGUGCCGGGGAAGUUUCUGGCCUUCAGUGGACCCCAUCCCAAAAGUAAAAUAGAGAAUGGCUACCCUCUCCAUGCCCCAGAGGCGUACUUCCCCUACUUCCGGAAACACAACAUGACCACAGUGGUGCGGCUCAACAAGAAGAUCUAUGACGCCAAGCGCUUCACGGAUGCCGGCUUCGACCACUACGACUUGUUCUUCGUGGAUGGCAGCACACCCAACGACGUCAUCACCCGCCGAUUCCUGCACAUCUGUGAGAGCACCGAUGGAGCCGUGGCCGUUCACUGCAAGGCUGGCCUUGGGCGUACUGGCACCCUGAUAGGCUGUUACCUAAUGAAGCACUACCACUUCACGGCAGCAGAGACCAUCGCCUGGAUCAGGGUCUGCCGGCCGGGCUCUAUUAUCGGGCCUCAGCAGCACUUCUUGGAGGAGAGGCAGGCAGCCAUGUGGAUGCAGGGGGACAUGCAGCGUUCGCAGCCGAGGGGUGUGUCUCACCUCAUCUCCAGCAUGGACGACCUCACCCUCAGACCAACCCACACCUCUAUUACCAACAGCAGCCCCGCUGGCAUCCUCAGGUCCCACAGUACCGACCGCCUUCAAGAGAACGACUACAUUGGGGAGAAUGGCCUAUGCAUGACCCAAGGAGAUAAAUUGCGUGCCUUAAAGGGCCGGCGCCAGCCCAGGUCGGCCACAACAGGAGCUCUAAGACUUGAAGACAUGAAAAUGCACACCAGGUCACCGUCCCAACCUUUUAGUAGGAUGAACCUUGGAGUGGGCACUCAGGGUACCAUCUCCCCACUCAAGUCUUCCAAAGUCCCAUCAUCCUCUGCUUCUGCCACGGCCAAGAGAAUCAGCCGCAGCUCCUCCUCCUCGGCAUCCAACCUCAAGAGCCUCCCAUCCCUCCAUUUAUCCACUUACCCUUUCUCUUGUCUCCUAUAGAUUUGUAUUUUACUCCUUUAACAUUUCUCUUUCCCUCUCUUUCCUGUCCUGUCCUUUUUUGGCUGUCUCAGUCCCCUGGUUGUGUUUCUGCCUGUCUGUGACUACCCCAUGUCCUGAGUGCAAGUGGCAGGUGGAAGGAUAAGCAGGGCAGGAGAGGGAACACGUGUGCAGUGUGUCUCAGUGACCAGACCGAUUCACAGAGAGGGUUGAUGCUCUGCAGGCUGUGAGCAUUCUCAACAGACCAAAUCUAAAUCCCCCACAUUCUGCACCACUAGAGACAGGGACUAGCACAUAACACAACACAACACAGCAACAAUCUCUCCUCUGGAGGAGCGGUACCAGACCUACUGUACUUUGUGCUCUUUUCAGGAUUUGUUAUUGUCUUUUUCUAUUCUACCAAAUUAUUCAACAGUGAAUGUGUAGGUAGGUAGCCAUGGCAAUAUAGAUUGGUUGAAUCAAUCUGCUAUUACUGUCCGACUCAAUCCACUAUUGUAGACUGCUUGCCGUCAGUGUAAAUCGGUUGUUUGUAAUUUGGCUGAUCCCAUUUAGUCGACUGGUCGAUUGUUUGAUCGAUAGGGUUUGUCGAGCAGUUAAGAAAGAAAUAAAGAUGUUUACGCCAAGUCUUGAUUGACGCCUGUCUCAGUAGACUAAUCCAUUGCAGAGGUGACACACCAGUAUCAACAGUAGUAUAUUUAACGUUAAUUCCCAUCAUUUCUAACCUACAAUGUCUGUUUGGUUUCCGUCAUUUCUGUUAACGCAUUACAUAUAUUAUUACAGUCUUACUGUUUUCAUUGUAGGAGUGGACACAUUGUUUGCAGAGAGCACAAUCUAGGCUACACUUGUGAGAAACAAGUUUUGGUUUAUUUCAUUCCAUUUAUGAGUUGUCAAUUUAUUCAUUUUGUUUUGUUUUUGGAGUGCUCCUGUCAACAUUGAGUAAGGACACGCACCUGAUUACACAUAGAAGUAGGACGAGUCUACCUGGCCUGCGCGCAAAGGUAGUCUUAUAAAUGUUCCCAUUUGGGGAUCUGAUAUUUCUGAUUGUCUUAACUCACCACCACUAAUGAGCUGUGGAUCUUCUCAGUUAUUUUUUCAUCACUUCAAACAACAAGUAAACAAAGUCUGUAUUUACAUCUAUUGAGAAUCACAAUAGUUCCUCAAUGUAGCCUAUUUGAACAAUCUUUCCAGCUCUCUCCCUUUCAGUAACCACCACUUGGUGUGAAUUGGGGAAAAAUGUCAUGCUCUGAUCCGGUGGAAACGUCAUAAAAUAGGCCUACCUGGUUACUUGUUAUCCCUUGCACAAAUACAGCUGUGUUUGUCCAGAGCUCACUGGCCAGGAAACUCUGAGGGUCCAGAAUAUCUUAUAAAAUGUUGCAAGAUUGUUAGUGCAAGCUUUGGGCUGAACUAAGUUGAUAGUUGAUACAAUGUUUCAAGUUCCUUGCAGACAGGCCAUGCAUAGCCAAUGUGAUUUACUUUUCUACCUGCACGAUGCAAUGUUUUUAUUUGUUGCCUUUAUGUCAGCUAUUUUUACAUAGUUGGAAAUGGCAAUACUUUUAGAUUUGUAUCAUUUUCAUUUCGAUAUAAUUUUUAUUAAUCACAUGACAACGAUUUUGAGAUGUAAAGACUUUAUUAUAAAAUAAAUGAAAGUAACUGGCACGCAGAUUAGUAGAAAUUUUAAGAUAAAUUGGCACUCCGAAUGGAAAAGGUUGCUGACCCCUGGUGUAACCUGCAACUUCAGGAGCUUAUGGCAGAAUCUGAGAAGGCCAGCAGCGGGAGGUGGUGGUUCGGGAACAGGUUUCUUUCUUCUGGUUAGGCUGUCUUGAUCUCGGAAUCCCUCUUGUGAAAUUUGUCUUAAUUAUUUAAUCACAGUGCGCUUAUGUAGACUACUCAGACAAGCUGAGUAUCUUACAUAUAGUUGAUUUUAUUUAAACACAUACAGUGUGUCUAUACAGUGGGGCAAAAAAGUAUUUAGUCAGCCACCAAUUGUGCAAGUUCUCCCACUUAAAAAGAUGAGAGAGGCCUGUAAUUGUCAUCAUAGGUACACUUCAACUAUGACAGACAAAAUGAGGGGGAAAAAAUCCAGAAAAUCACAUUGUAGGAUUUUUUAUGAAUUUAUUUGCAAAUUAUGGUGGAAAAUAAGUAUUUGGUCACCUACAAACAAGCAAGAUGUCUGGCUCUCACAGACCUGUAAUUUCUCUGUCCUCCACUCGUUACCUGUAUUAAUGGCACCUGUUUGAACUUGUUAUCAGUAUAAAAGACACCUGUCCACAACCUCAAACAGUCACACUCCAAACUCCACUAUGGCCAAGACCAAAGAGCUGUCAAAGGACACCAGAAACUAAAUUGUAGACCUGCACCAGGCUGGGAAGACUGAAUCUGCAAUAGGUAAGCAGCUUGGUUUGAAGAAAUCAACUGUGGGAGCAAUUAUUAGGAAAUGGAAGACAUACAAGACCAUGGAUAAUCUCCCUCGAUCUGGGGCUCCACGGAAGAUCUCACCCCGUGGGGUCAAAAUGAUCACAAGAACGGUGAGCAAAAAUCCCAGAACCACACGGGGGCACCUAGUGAAUGACCUGCAGAGAGCUGGGACCAAAGUAACAAAGCCUACCAUCAUUAACACACUAUGCCGCCAGGGACUCAAAUCCUGCAGUACCAGACGUGUCCCCCUGCUUAAGCCAGUACAUGUCCAGGCCCGUCUGAAGUUUGCUAGAGAGCAUUUGGAUGAUCCAGAAGAAGAUUGGGAGAAUGUCACAUGGUCAGAUGAAACCAAAAUAUAACUUUUUGCUAAAAACUCAACUCGUCGUGUUUGGAGGACAAUGAAUGCUGAGUUCCAUCCAAAGAACACCAUACCUACUGUGAAGCAUGGGGGUGGAAACAUCAUGCUUUGGGGCUGUUUUACUGCAAAGGGACCAGGACGACUGAUCCGUGUAAAGGAAAGAAUGAAUGGGGCCAUGUAUCGUGAGAUUUUGAGUGAAAACCUCCUUCCAUCAGCAAUGGCAUUGAAGAUGAAACGUGGCUGGGUCUUUCAGCAUGACAAUGAUCCCAAACACACCGCCCAGGCAACGAAGGAGUGGCUUCGUAAGAAGCAUUUCAAGGUCCUGGAGUGGCCUAGCCAGUCUCAACCCCAUACAAAAUCUUUGGAGGGAGUUGAAAGUCCGUGUUGCCCAGCAACAGCCCCAAAACAUCACUGCUCUAGAGGAGAUCUGCAUGGAGUAAUGGGCCAAAAUACCAGCAACAGUGUGUGAAGACUUACAGAAAACGUUUGACCUCUGUCAUUGCCAACAAAGGGUAUAUAACAAAGUAUUGAGAAACUUUUGUUAUUGACCAAAUACUUAUUUUCCACCAUCAUUUGCAAAUAAAUUCAUAAAAAAUCCUACAAUGUGAUUUUCCUCACUUUGUCUGUCAUAGUUGAAUUGUACCUAUGAUGAAAAUUACAGGCCUCUCUCAUCUUUUUAAGUGGGAGAACUUGCACAAUUGUUGGCUGACUAAAUACUUUUUUGCCCCACUGUAAAUGGGGAAAAACGUUUAAAAAUUUUGUCGAUUGGUCGAAAGAACAGAUGGCACUUGUUUUAGUUUGUGACAGCCCCAGUGAAAAUAUAGUAAAUCAGUCCGCUAUUAGAUCCACGGUACCAGUCCACAGUAGGCAGUCGUCCUCUCCUGAGCCUGUGAAAGAAGUUAGUCCUCUUGUCAUUGUGUUUGUUUGGUGUUUGGGAUGUGUCCUGUGUAUUUAUGUCCCCUUCCCCGCUCCCAUCUACCUUUCCCUCAGCUCCUUCAUUAACUGCAGGCUAGCCAGCUCCUUAGGCAACCUGUACGCAGCUGACAGCAGCGAGGGCAAUAGGAAGCUGCCGUACACGCCCUCUUCAUCACACUCUUCCUCCUCUCCUCCCUCCAUCGUCACCACCCCCAUCCCUCCGUCGGGCUGGGCCGCCUCCGUUCACGGCUACGUGGCUAACAGCGUGCACGGCGCCGAUUACCACCACCAUGAGGUCAACAAUAAUCAGUAUAACUCGUCCCCUACUGGGGUGUUCAGCCCCGCGGGGGCCCCCCAACAUGCUGCAGGCAGGCUGGGCCCCGGGCCUGAUAAGUACAGCCCAUUCAGACCCCAGCAGGAGGGCUACUCUGGGCUCAGCGGACCCUCCGGCCGAUACCUCAGCCGCUCCAUCCCCUCCCUUCAAUCUGAAUAUGUUCAGUACUAAAGCUGCGGUUCUGCGUUGACCAAGACCGGACAGCCAUCGUGACGACUGAACUGGGCGCGAUGGAGUCUCCCACCCCUCUCCAUCUCCCCCUUCUUCCCUGCUUUCUCCCACAUACUGAAAAGGGAAAUGAGUAAACCAGGAGGCGCUAUAGGACGUAUUACAUUUAUUCUUCUCUCUUGGCAUCUGGGCGGCUGUGAUCUUUGGGGGCAGGCACAUAGACAGCCACAAACUCACAAGGGCUUAUGGAACUUUGAGUUUUGAGCUUCUUCUGUCAGCUUCAGACGGCCUCGAUCCACCUUAACUGAAGUCACUGUUUGUAUAAUGCUAACAAAGGGAGAUUACCCGGCUGUAGUUAGGCUUGGCCAGGCUGUAACUAUGUGAGUGCUCUGUCUCUUUAAAGCUGAGAUAUGGCCAUAUACUGUAGACUGGAGGUUCUCUGCUUCCCUGCAUCACAGAUUUCUGUUUUUAUUUAUGUGUACAUGUGCUAUACAAAAUGACUGUGUACACAACACAUAACAUGUACUAAAAAAAUAGGAUAUUUUUAGAUGAGGAUUUUAUACAUGAAACAUGACAAUUGUGUUGCCUGGAUAAAGAAAUAUGUUUAUAUUUACAAGUGGGUUAGCAAACAUGUUUUGGUUUAUCGCAAUUCUAUUUUUGUCUGAGUGUUACUACUUCACUAACAACAUCCAAAUAUGCGAGGGGUUUAUGGAGAGGUUCCUUAUCAGCAAUGUAUUGGCAGCACAGGACCAGGCUCAGGGUGAUGUGCUCUUGCAAUUAUGAUUCUGUUUUGUGUGUGAGAAUGUAGACCAUGUGCACAUGCACGCUAAUGUAUGUACCAUAGACUGUAUAAAAACCUGUACGUACGUACUUACCUAUGUGAGCGUGUGUGGAUGAAUGAGACUGCAUAGUGAGUGUGUCUAGAAACCAUGUGUGUGCAGUCCUCUGCCCAUGGAGUGAAAGGGUCUCUAGAGAGAAGAGAAUGACGUAUAGGGAAGAGAUGAGUGUUGUCUCCUCUUCACUAUUUUAAAUUGUUUUAAAUUGAUUCAAUGAACUGGUGGGAUUUGGUAACCCCCAAUUGGAACUAAUUCAUGCUUAAUGUUCUCCUCUGUCGCAAGCCUACAUCACUCCAUUGAAUGAUUUGCAUCUCAAUGGGACUCACAUGGUCAAGUAAAGGAUAAAUACAGAAUAUUAUCACCAAAAAGGAUGUAGCUAAUUUCAUAAACCCUCACAGGUCAAUGAUUUGACAACUAAAGUCAUACCAAUAACCAGACUAGGUUAUUGUGACUAGCUAUGUUGAGCAUGAUGAACAGUGGUCAUUAGUAGAGAAAAUGUAUUGUGUUGUUGGACCAACACCACCCACAACAUAAGCCUCAGUCCCUGCGGUAUACCAUACACCAGGCAGCUUAGCAAUCCCCUCCACAGACACAAGAUCCCACUGCAAUAAUGCUCUUUGAAAGGAAAAGGAGCACAUUUAUGUUAUUCGACAAGCUGUGGAUUAUGGAACUUGAUUUGUGGCAGCCUAUUUUUAACACAUACCUACUGUAGAACCAGUUAUGUUAGUUGUGUUAUCGUCAGGGCACAAUGAUAACAGAUGUUUGUCGCUAUUACUGAAAUAUUUCCCAGUUUUUGUUCGAGAAUGUAAAAACAACGCAGAAACGUUUCCUGCGUAUUACGAUUCUUUCAGACUAGAAGGAGAUAAAAACAUUUCCGCUUUGCAGGUAGAGGUUCCUAAAAAAAUGGAAAAGCACAACUGUCCCCCAAAAUACCAUUCUUUAAAAUCUCAUGCUGGAUGUCAUUGUGUGUACAGCAGUCAUUAUCAAAGCUUGUUUUUUACCAAUGAAAAUGACCUACUGUGGCGCCACUAACUCAUCCAUUUUCUGUUGGACCUUAUAAGAGUCCCUAUAUGCUUUUUACUUUUUAAACUUUUGUUGAAUUUCAAAGUUGAUUUAAAUAAAUGUGUACCAAAGCAUCUGUUCAUGGCUGCAAGGAUUUUAUUUUGUUAGAGCUCUGUACAUUCCUGGCAGUGAAAUGUGUUUCUUUGUUUCGAGAUGGGAGAAUCUUAAUAAUGCAGGUAUUCUACCUCCUUGAAAUGUACAAUUUAUAGCGAUAAAAUUCGUACUUGUAUUUUUGCUUUUCAUUUUCAUACAGUAAGAAUAGUACAAUGUCUACUGUACUACAUGUGUAUAUUUUACAGGGAACAGAAGUUGCUGAAGGAAGUAACACAAUUAAAAAAUAUACUUUUCAAGA